rnacentral:pre_miRNA from 1 species
AAAUUACUUUCUCCGUUCGGAAUUACUUGUCUCGAAAAUGGAUGUAUCUAGAUUUAAAAUACGUCUAGAUACAUUCAUUUCUGCGACAAAUAAUUUUAAACGGAGGGAGUACAUC